UUUGUCUUUUUUCUGUUCCUUAGGGUGUUUGUAUUAACUUUAACAGAGGCGUCGAUUUUAUUUUUUAGAAAAAUGUGAUCACUGUGAUGAUUAUCUUGUAAAACCCUCGUGUGGGCAUGUAUCGUCUCAUAAAAGACCUUAUCGAAACAAUGUGUAAUGGUUAGACCUUACGAAUCGAAUGGGAAUAAAUAAAAAUAUAUAUUUACAAAAGCUUAA